UACGAAGGGGGCUAGCGUUGUUCGGAAUCACUUGGGCGUAAAGCGCACGUAGGCGGAUCUUUAAGUCAGAGGUGAAAUCCCAAGGUUCAACCUUGGAACUGCCUUUGAUAACUGGGGACUCUUGAGUCCGGGAGAGGUGAGUGGAACUGCGAGUGUAGAGGUGAAAAUUCGUAGAUAUUCGCAAGAACGACCAGUGGCGAAGGCGGACU
rnacentral:rRNA from 1 species